rnacentral:rRNA from 1 species
CUCUGAAGAGAGAGUCAAAGACCGUGAAACCGCUCAGAGUAUAAGCCAAUGGAGCUUGGAAGGCUUCCACAGAUGGAGUUCAUCCCUAGUGGUGUUCAGAAGACCUUGAGUCUCGCUCGUCAGGCGACAGUUUGAGUAUGCCGACCAGCUGUCGUGCGGGGGUUCGGUUUGGAGGUCCUAGGCUUCGGCCGAAACGUUCCGGCUGUCCCCUUUUGAAUGGACGUUCAGAGCUCUUGGUCUAUUGUGGUUACGCCCACCACAGCACGUUGUGAGGUCACCCACAGGCUCAAACUGCCGAUCGCGGGUCCAGGACGAUGGCAACGAUGCGUUGUUGAAGUUGUUUGCGAGUCUGCACUCACACGCGUGUCUAGUCCUGGGUCGGGCGGCGACCGAGAUAAACCUGGUAUGAUCCUCAUGCGACGAGCUGCUUUCUGGCCAGACCGACGCCCAGACGCUUCCACUGUGCCGGAAGCGUCAAUCCCAGGCGGUGUGAACCCAGCUGCAUUAUGCAAGGUCUCUCAGCCGGGCGUUGGUCUGAGUGGUGUCAAGUCCAGCACCAUCGGUCACGUCUCGAAACACGGGCCAAGGAGUAUAGCAUGUGUGCAAGUCUAAGGGUCUCACAAAACCCGAAGGCGAAGUGAAAGCAAGACUGUGGCGGGGGAGCUACGGCAAACCCGCCAGCCUGGGUGGCGCUUGCGUCACCCAGGCUUUUAACAGAGCUGAUCCUGAUUUCUCGGUUGAUUCUUGGUGCAGGCGCAAGCUCCGGGCUCACGUAUAACACUGGUCACUC